GACGAACGCUGGCGGCGUGCCUAAUACAUGCAAGUCGAGGGACCGGCGCACGGGUGAGUAACACGUAUCCAACCUGCCCUUUACUCGGGGAUAGCCUUUCGAAAGAAAGAUUAAUACCCGAUAUAAAGGAUGGGGAUGCGUUCCAUUAGGUUGUUGGUGAGGUAAUGGCUCACCAAGCCUUCGAUGGAUAGGGGUUCUGUGAGGAAGGUCCCCCGCAUUGGAACUGAGACACGGUCCAAACUCGUACGGGAGGCAGCAGUGAGGAAUAUUUGGCAAUGAGCGCUAGCCUGAACCAGCCAAGUAGCGUGAAGGAUGAAGGCUUAUGGGUCGUAAACUUCUUUUAUAUAAGAAUAUGUAUUAUAUGAAUAAGGAUCGGCUAACUCCGUGCCAGCAGCCGCGGUAAUUC
rnacentral:rRNA from 1 species